rnacentral:rRNA from 1 species
CUAGCGACAGGCUUAACACAUGCAAGUCGAGGGGCAGCGGGGGUAGCGAUACCCGCCGGCGACCGGCGCACGGGUGAGUAACGCGUAUGCAACUUGCCUAUCAGAGGGGGAUAACCCGGCGAAAGUCGGACUAAUACCGCAUGAAGCAGGGGCCCCGCAUGGGGAUAUUUGCUAAAGAUUCAUCGCUGAUAGAUAGGCAUGCGUUCCAUUAGGCAGUUGGCGGGGUAACGGCCCACCAAACCGACGAUGGAUAGGGGUUCUGAGAGGAAGGUCCCCCACAUUGGUACUGAGACACGGACCAAACUCCUACGGGAGGCAGCAGUGAGGAAUAUUGGUCAAUGGCCGAGAGGCUGAACCAGCCAAGUCGCGUGAGGGAUGAAGGUUCUAUGGAUCGUAAACCUCUUUUAUAAGGGAAUAAAGUGCGGGACGUGUCCCGUUUUGUAUGUACCUUAUGAAUAAGGAUCGGCUAACUCCGUGCCAGCAGCCGCGGUAAUACGGAGGAUCCGAGCGUUAUCCGGAUUUAUUGGGUUUAAAGGGUGCGUAGGCGGCCUUUUAAGUCAGCGGUGAAAGUCUGUGGCUCAACCAUAGAAUUGCCGUUGAAACUGGGGGGCUUGAGUAUGUUUGAGGCAGGCGGAAUGCGUGGUGUAGCGGUGAAAUGCAUAGAUAUCACGCAGAACCCCGAUUGCGAAGGCAGCCUGCCAAGCCAUUACUGACGCUGAUGCACGAAAGCGUGGGGAUCAAACAGGAUUAGAUACCCUGGUAGUCCACGCAGUAAACGAUGAUCACUAGCUGUUUGCGAUACACUGUAAGCGGCACAGCGAAAGCGUUAAGUGAUCCACCUGGGGAGUACGCCGGCAACGGUGAAACUCAAAGGAAUUGACGGGGGCCCGCACAAGCGGAGGAACAUGUGGUUUAAUUCGAUGAUACGCGAGGAACCUUACCCGGGUUUGAACGCAUUCGGACCGAGGUGGAAACACCUUUUCUAGCAAUAGCCGUUUGCGAGGUGCUGCAUGGUUGUCGUCAGCUCGUGCCGUGAGGUGUCGGCUUAAGUGCCAUAACGAGCGCAACCCUUGCCACUAGUUACUAACAGGUAAAGCUGAGGACUCUGGUGGGACUGCCAGCGUAAGCUGCGAGGAAGGCGGGGAUGACGUCAAAUCAGCACGGCCCUUACAUCCGGGGCGACACACGUGUUACAAUGGCGUGGACAAAGGGAAGCCACCUGGCGACAGGGAGCGAAUCCCCAAACCACGUCUCAGUUCGGAUCGGAGUCUGCAACCCGACUCCGUGAAGCUGGAUUCGCUAGUAAUCGCGCAUCAGCCAUGGUGCGGUGAAUACGUUCCCGGGCCCUGUACACACCGCCCGUCAAGCCAUGGGAGCCGGGGGUACAUGAAGUCCGUAACCGAAAGGAUCGGCCUAGGGUAAACC